CCGCCCCGUCCGGGAGGGAGGUGGGGGGGGUCAGCCCCCCUGCCCAGCCAGCCGCCCCGUCCGGGAGGUGAGGGGCGCCUCUGCCCGGCCGCCCCUACUGGGAAGUGAGGAGCCCCUCUGCCCGGCCAGCCGCCCCGUCCGGGAGGGAGGUGGGGGGGUCAGCCCCCCGCCCGGCCAGCCGCCCCAUCCGGGAGGGAGGUGGGGGGGGUCAGCCCCCCGCCCGGCCAGCCGCCUGGUCCGCGAGGUGAGGGGCGCCUCUGCCCGGCCGCCCCUACUGGGAAGUGAGGAGCCCCUCUGCCCGGCCACCACCCCGUCUGGGAGGUGUGCCCAACAGCUCAUUGAGAACGGGCCAGGAUGACAAUGGCGGCUUUGUGGAAUAGAAAGGCGGGAAAGGUGGGGAAAAGAUUGAGAAAUCGGAUGGUUGCCGUGUCUGUGUAGAAAGAAGUAGACAUGGGAGACUUUUCAUUUUGUUCUGCACUAAGAAAAAUUCUUCUGCCUUGGGAUCCUGUUGAUCUGUGACCUUACCCCCAACCCUGUGCUCUCUGAAACAUGUGCUGUGUCCACUCAGGGUUAAAUGGAUUAAGGGCAGUGCAAGAUGUGCUUUGUUAAACAGAUGCUUGAAGGCAGCAUGCUCCUUAAGAGUCAUCACCAAUCCCUAAUCUCAAGUAAUCAGGGACACAAACACUGCGGAAGGCCGCAGGGUCCUCUGCCUAGGAAAACCAGAGACCUUUGUUCACUUGUUUAUCUGCUGACCUUCCCUCCACUAUUGUCCCAUGACCCUGCCAAAUCCCCCUCUGUGAGAAACACCCAAGAAUUAUCAAUAAAAAAAUAAAUUUAAAAAAAAAAUAAAUAAAGUAGAAAAUAAGAUGAUUGGAAAAUUGCCAUAUAUAAAAGACAAAAUUAUAUAAAUUCAAGGAAUAAGAAAAAAGCAAGGGAAAGUGGAAAACAGACUUGUCACUGAAAUAUACCAUACCCAAUUCCAUACAUACCUUCCUAAUACCUGCCCAGUUGGAAGUUACAAUUAUUUUCUAUUAUUUGUUCACUAAAUAUACUGAGUGCCAUAUUUUUUACUAUAAAUACACACCCACAAGGCACAUCUUUGUUGUCUAUCAAGGUAUCCUCAUAUGUCCAAGAGACGUAAGAGCCCUCUCCUUAGGAUAUUCUUAGUCCAGAAUCAUCUAGGACAUACACCCCUUCCCAAGGGUAGCUAGUUGACCCACUGCCCAGACUAGGUCAAGUCCUGAUUUCAGGAACUCUGCCUCUUCUCCUUGAAUGUACCAUUAAGGCACCUUAACCUAUGAGUCAAGAAUUUCAACAGAUACCCUUCUUAGUUUUCUGAAGUAAUUUGUCACUCCCAGAAGUAGGGAAACACUUGUCAUUUUUACAUGCCCCCAGCUGUGGCACUGCCAUUUGCUCCCUGCUUGCCGUCUUGUCUGCCACAUCAUUCCUUAUCUAUUCAAUCACUUAGUCAUCUACAUCGCCAAUACUUUUUGACCAUACCUUCUGUGUUAGUGCCUGGGAAAUAACUCCUACCAUCAAGCAACUGUCUGUGUUUGAUUUCCCAGUUAGAGACUGCCAGGAUUGACUAAGAAAUAGUUCCAAGUCAGAAUAUCAUUAAUUUUUUGAUAGGAAAAUUAUUUACAAAGCACUACUAAAAUAGUAUGAUAGUUAUAAAAUAUUUAUAGACAAAAAAUAAAUAACUAGAUAUUCAUUUAGGAGCCUGGGGGGAUGCUAGAGGCCUCUGCAAUGUGGAAGACCCUUGAGGAAGAUUUGACAGGUGAAUGACCAUUAAAGCUGAGUCAUAAAGAAUGAAGAAGCAAUCUUCAAGUAGAAAUUGGUGAAAGAAGAUUCCAGGAAGAGACAUCAGCAUGGGGAAAGUUAAGGAGAUGCGAAAGUUGAUGCACAUUUAGGGAAUAGCCAAUAAUCCACUAUACUUAGAGCACAGAGACUUAGAGUUGGGGUGUAAGACGGGCGGCACAGGGAAUAGAAGGAGAAAGCAGGGUAGGGACCCACACAGGGAUGGACCUAGCAUGCCUUAUAGAGUUGUGACCCCAGGUUUCACCCGAACAGGGAUUCAGGCUUACAUGAUAUACUGGUGAGUAAGGUCAGGAGAACUCUGUUUGUAUCAGGAUGGCUUCAGAUAAUGAAGAAGACAGCCUGAUGUCUGUCCCAGAUAUCGGUUCCCUGCUCUCAGACUGACCUGCCUUGAGAAUAUGUCCUGUAGGCAGAAGCUGAGGAGCUGGUUUUAAAAGGAAAUGUUGGCUGGGCGCGGUGGCUCAAGCCUUUGAUCCCAGCACUUUGGGAGGCCGAGGUGGAUGCAUCACUUGAGGCCAGGAGUUCGAGACCAGCCUGGCCAACAUGGUGAAACCCUGUCUCUACUAAAAAUACAAAAAUUAAGCCAGGCGCAGCGGCUCACGCCCGUAAUCCCAGCACUUUGGGAGGCCAAGGCGGGUGGAUCACCAGAGAUCGAGAGUUUAAGACCAGUCUGACCAACAUGGAGAAACCCUGUCUCUACUAAAAAUACAAAAAAUUAGCCGGGUGUGGUGGUGCAUGCCUAUAAUCCCAGCUACUCGGGAGGCUAAGGCAGGAGAAUCGCUUGAACCCGGGAGGCAGAGGUUGCAGCGAGCCGAGAUCGCGCCGAGCCGAGAUCGCGCCAUUGCACUCCAGCCUGGGCAACAAGAGUGAAACUCCGUCUCAAAAAAAGAAAAAAUACAAAAAUACAAAAAUUAGCCAGGUGUGGUGGCAUGCACCUGUAGUCCCAGCUACUCUGGAGGCUGAGGCAGGAGAAUCGCUUGAACCCAGGAGGCAGAGGUUGCAGUGAGCCAAGAUCGUGCCACUGCACUCAAGCCUGGGCAACAGAGUGAGACUCUGUCUCAAAAAAAAAAAAAAAAAAAAGCAAAUGUCACUGAGACACAAACAGGGGCCUGGGUCAAUGCCUAGGAGAUAAGGAACAGCAGGGGAGCGAGGAUGGACAUUCUCAUCACUUCUGCAUAUAAAAAGCACCUGGCUUUGAUAGGCAUAUCAAGAACUCUAGGGAAUGAAGUGAUAUAUUGAUACCUUGAGGAUUUUCAGCAUUAAGAGCCUAAGAAGAGGCUGGGUGCGGUGGCUCACGCCUGUAAUCACAGCACUUUAGGAGGCCGAGGCGGACAGAUCACGAAGUCAGAAGUUCAAGACCAGCCUGACCAACAUAGUGAAACCCUGUCUCUACUAAAAAUACAAAAAUUAGCCAGGCAUGGUGGCUGGCGCCUGUAAUCCCAGCUACUCAGGAGGCUGAGGCAUGAGAAUCGCUUGAACCCAGGAGACGGAGGUUGCAGUGAGCAAAGAUCUUGCCACUGCACUCCGGCCUGGGCAACAAGAGCAAAACUCCAUCUCAAAGCAAAACAAAACAAAAACAAAACAAUUUGCUAGGAGAAGAUACUCAACUUCACUGUGAUCAGAGAAAUGCAAAUGGAAACUACAAAGAGAUUCAAUUUUCCCCUUAUACUAAUGGUCAAAGAUGUCUAUAAAAAAUUGUAACUUCACAGGUCCUCUGACUAUGGAGUUUUGCUCUUAGUUAUUAUAAAGAUAUUUUCAUAGGUGUGUGAAAUGAUGUAUGUAGAAGGACACUCAUUACAGCAUUUUUUAUUAUAGGAAAAGAUUGGAAAUUACCCAAGUGUUCCUCAGUAAGGAAUUGGAUAAAUAACGGCUCAUCUAUAUAAUGGAGUAUAAUGCAGCUAUUUAAAAGAAUGAGAUGGCUCUAUGUGUACUGAUAUAAAACAUUCCCCAAGAUAUAUUAAGUGAAAAAAAGGAGUUAUAUAAUGUACAUGCAGUAUGCCCUCCUCCCUUCUCUCUCCCUCUCUCUCUCGUGUUUGUGUGUGUUUGUAUAUAUGUGUGUGUGUCUUUUUCUAUUUUUUUUUAUUUUGUGUAUAUCUUUUAAAUGCUAGAAUAUCUCUGGAAGGAGUCACAUGAAACUGACAAUUUUGUUUACUUUCCAGAGAGAGGAAUUGGGUGCCUAGGGAGCUUUUUGCCCUUUUGUACUAUGUAUUUGUAUUACAUAUUCCCCCAAAAAAUAAAUUUUAAAAAAUUGUUGCAGGCUUGUUCCAAAUACCUCUUUUCAGGAGAUGGUCUUUAACCUUUUCCCCAUGGCAAGAAUGGCCUGAGAAACAAGAGUCACAAUUAUACCUAAGAUUAAGCAAGCUGAAACCUAGCUUUGCCCUGCAAAAAAGAUUCCUGCUUAGGAGAUAUUACAGUAAUUAUGAACAUGUAAAGGCAAGAAAAAACACACAGAUAGACACGGGAAAGAUGCCAAAGAGUGACAUAUCCCAGAGAAUAAAAGAUUUAGUAUGAUGAGUGUAUAAUCACUGUGGCAUAGUGAGAAAGACUUGUUAGUGAGGAAUGAUGAAAACAUUUAUAUGGCAGAAACCAAUGGGGCUAACAGAAUAGAUAAAUAUGGUAUCUGUUAGGGGAAUUUGGAGUCCAGAUAGAAUUAAUCAAGACUUAUAACAUAAGAAGUUUAGGCCAGGCAUGGUGGUUUACACUUGUAAUCCUAGCACUGUGGGAGGCGGAGGCUGGAGGAUCGCUUGAGCCAAGGAGGUCAAGUCCAGCCUGGGCAGCAUGGCAAAACCCCAUCUCUACCAAAAAUACAAAAAUUAGCCAGGCAUGGUGGCACACACCUGUAAUCCCAGCUACUCAGGAG
rnacentral:lncRNA from 1 species